CCCUCCUGAUGUGUGUCAUACCCCCAGUCUCUCUGUGUGUUUAAUUCCGUCCCCUCUCUGCCCCCCCUCCCGGUGGUCCUGUGGGAAAUGCAGCCAGUCUGGGCAUUGGCAAAGAAAAUGGGUGCACCAAGAUAUUCGGACUCACACCACCAGGAAAAAGAAUAAAUAAAUAGUAAGGGGGGGUGGAUGUGUGUGAGUAUAAGUACUAGGAUACAGGGAACAUAAGGAAAGAACAAAAAAAAAACAGGGGCUUAUGAUUAAGGCCAU